rnacentral:rRNA from 1 species
UACGUAGGGGGCAAGCGUUGUCCGGAUUUAUUGGGCGUAAAGAGCGUGUAGGCGGCUAGGUAGGUCCGUUGUGAAAACUCGAGGCUCAACCUCGAGAUGCCGAUGGAAACCAUCUGGCUAGAGUCCGGAAGAGGAGAGUGGAAUUCCUGGUGUAGCGGUGAAAUGCGCAGAUAUCAGGAAGAACACCCGUGGCUAAGGCGGCUCUCUAGUACGGUACUGACGCUGAGACGCGAAAGCGUGGGGAGCGAACAGG